GUGUGGCAACGUGCGAUCUUCUGGGGAUUUUCCGUGCUCAUCUGGCGACUGGGAAAUUUUUUGCUCCUCCCUCACCGGACCCUAAUCAAUGUAUCUUUAUACAGGUGAGCUAAGGGAGUUUGUGCCGAGGGAAUCUAUGCUGAGUAUUAAUACAUUUGUCCACUGCUCUACCACAUAUACUCAUUAGAUGUCUUCUCACCUUCUUCCACACGGGGGAAUUGCUCGCUCCUUUAAGAGGUGGUGAUGUGCAAAAAACCAAUAUUGGCGUGCCGGUGUUAUGUGGAUAAAGGAGGUGGUGCAAGAUGUAAAUUGAAAUGGUGCAAAAAGCAACGAGACAAAUCAAGUCAGAUGCUAAUGGUUUCAUUGCAUUUUAUUCACUUAAUUAAUUAUUUAAUGUAAAUUCAAUGUACAAUCAUUUUUAUUUUAUAACUUAAAUAUAUCUACUCUAAAUCGAUUUGUUGGAUUUUCUCUGCGCGCUGUGUCUGUGUUUUUGUUUUAAUUUUCUUUUCUUGCAUUUUGUCCUCCUCUGUGAAACCAUUUAUUAAGUUUUUAGAAGAUUAAGAAGAGAGAGAUACAUGUGGGUUAAAUUACAAAGAAUUUCCUUAAACACUAAUAGACUUUUAAAAUUUAUACUACAUAUUUCUUCAUUAUCUUCUCCUUCAAUAUAAUAACACUUAACACUUUCAACUACGAUCAUUCUAUGUUGGCUUCUUGCUGCCUCACAUUUUCUAAUUGAUCAUCAUUUAGGUGCGGUCUCAACUAAUUAAAUAAUAACAUUAUUUUCUUCUCUUUUUUUCUUUUACGCUGUAUUUACAAAAUUCUUUAUUUAUUCUACCAGAAAUAUCGUCUAAAUUUCCACAAACUCACACACACACGUACACGUCUUAUUUUCCUCAUACCGAACACACUUUCUAAUAUUUGCUAAAGAUGGUUUUUGCUGUGAAGAGAAAAAGGAACAAAGUCAAAAUACUCCAGACACUCUAUUGGAUAAUUUAUAGAAUGAUAUUUAAUUCAAAUUCAAUUAAUAUUUGAAGGACACCAGAGAUAUAUUUUUAGAAUGAAUUAUUUUUCAAAAUUGAUUCUCUCUCGUUUUUUUUUGUUUCAAACUUCUUCCAUUGAUCCCUUUGAUUGAAAUUGCAUGCAAAAGGACUUUAUUCACACUAGUCGAACUCAAAGAUAUUUUUCAGAAUAUUUUUAGAAUUAUUUUUAGAAUUAUUUUUUAUUAAAUAAAUGGAACAAGCUUGGACUUCCGGUAGGAUAAGUUGUGGUAGAAAGAACUGAAGGCAGGGACGUAGCCAUGAGAAGAUCUUUUGGUGUGGUGGGAAAACUCGUUUCACCGUCUUUAGGUGUCUAUUUAAAUAUCCUAUGAUUUUUCUAAAAGUCAAAUAGAACUAUUUUAAAGAUAAAAACCAAAAGAAAAUUUUUCAAUUAUUAGAAAAAUAUUAAAAGUUAGAAAAAAAACUUCAAGCAUUAAAGUAAAUGUCAAUCAAUAAAGACGCGUCAAAUGAUGGAAUUUAAUCAACUGUCAAAAGUUUCAAACACAGCAAUCAAUAUAAAUCUUUUACGAUAAAAAAGAAACGUCAAGUGUCAGAAUUGAAGAAAUUGUUAAAACUUGAUAAAUACAAUGCAAUUUUCUACUCAAUAUUUAUACACGUUGACUGCUGAUUUACUUUUUUAACCCUUCUCGUCCAAGUGAAACAUUGAAACAUACGCUCUUUUACCCCUAGGAGGAUCCACGAUUCUAACAUCAAAACUUUAACCUUAAUUUCCUCUUAGAGAGAAAAUUUUUUCCGAGUUUUCUUUCAACGAAUUUGAAGUAAUUGGAAUUCCCUAAAACAUGUAAAAUUUAUGGCGAAAUGUUAAAUAGAUUUUUAAUUUCUGACAAUUUAAAAAAACAUUGAAUUGGCCACGGUGGCCAGCAAAAUUCUCUAAGACUUAAACAUUUGCGAUAAACAAUUAAGGUAAAAUACCUUCUUUGGUCUCAUUCGCUUAAAUUCAAUUUGGAAAAACAAUUUAAUUUAUAAAAAUUUAGAAAAAUGUUUCACGUGUCUACAGACAAAAGAAUCUUAAACACUCUUUCGAAUAGAUUUCUGGCAACGCCCCUGACAGAAAGGACUUUAUUCACUUUAGUGUUAGCUGUUCUUGCCAAAAAUAUUUUUAAAAAAAUGUUUCAAAGCUCAGUGAAACAUUAGCUUGAAUGUUUCACGCGUUUAAAGAAACAAAAAAACAUAGUGACGUCAUUUGUUGUGUUACCGUAAUAUCUCUGCCGACUUUUCCUAAUUAAUUCCGAUGGAAAAUCUUGAGGACUUUUUUUGGAUGUUCUUUUAUAGAUUCUUUUAAUCAAGAAAUAUUCACAGGGUGUCUGGAAUAUCUUGGGUAUUGGAAGGAAUAUUAAAUAUUUCAUGGGGAUAUAAUUAAACUAUAAAACUUGAAAUUAAAUUACAAAAAAAAGAAGAAAAAAACAGUCUUGUGUGUUAAAAUAUUCUCUUAUUUUUCAAUGCACUAAAAAUAUAUCUUCCAUUGGAUGUUUGAGUGUGAAAAGAUCGAUAAUUGAUUGAAAAUUUAAUGAGCAUAAUACAUUGGAAUUGCGUGUCGCAUUGUGGUAAUUAAUAUGGUGCUCUAGUUGGGCAAUUGAGAGGGAAAAUGUCACACUUUUCCACAUCAAUAUAUAUAUUUUUUCCUCCAUCUUUUUAAUUCCAACUUUAUUUCAAACUAAAAAAAACCUCACAAUUACUAUUGGUGGGUGACCUCACCCAGGUACGCCCCACAGCUCAUUUCCUUUGACCUUUUUUUUCCUUCCCAUGUGCACCCUGUAUUGGACUUUGGCGCAUUGAAUUGCGCUAAAUUGGACACCACUCCAUGAGAUAAUUAUGCCAGUUUAGUCACUCCUUUGUAAUUAGUAUAUUUUUAGCUGUGUUUCUUUCAGACACAGCUUUUGUGUACCGAGCAAAAUCGAAAGUCGUCAGAUCGGGCUCAAACUUGGGAUGAGCACGAAUUAGGGUCCCCACAUUCCAAAAAACGUAUGCGCCAAAAAAAUUUUUUUCCGGCCGGCCGGCCGUCCGGCCGUCCGGCCGGCCGGAGUAUAACGUUAAAUUGCGAGAGAACGGUGAUAGAUAGAGACUUGCGGUAAACGGCAAAGUUUAAAUAUCGACCGGAAGACGUCCGAUUAUGACGUCAAAUUUUACCCCCCACCCCCCCG